AACGAACGCUGGCGGCAGGCUUAACGCAUGCAAGUCGAACGCAUCCUUCGGGGUGAGUGGCAGACGGGUGAGUAACGCGUGGGAACGUGCCCUUCAGUUCGGGAUAACCCAGGGAAACUUGGGCUAAUACCGGAUACGUGCGAGAGCAGAAAGAUUUAUCGCUGAAGGAUCGGCCAGCGUCUGAUUAGCUAGUUGGUGGGGUAAUGGCCCACCAAGGCGACGAUCAGUAGCUGGUCUGAGAGGGUGAUCAGCCACAUUGGGACUGAGACACGGCCCAAACUCCUACGGGAGGCAGCAGUGGGGAAUAUUGGACAAUGGGCGCAAGCCUGAUCCAGCCAUGCCGCGUGAGUGAUGAAGGCCUUAGGGUUGUAAAGCUCUUUCGUCCGGGACGAUAAUGACGGUACCGGAAGAAGAAGCCCCGGCUAACUUCGUGCCAGCCGCCGCAGUAAGAC
rnacentral:rRNA from 1 species